AAAAAACUUGUAUAGAAAUCGUGUAGAUUACACGUGUGUUAAUUAAUAAAUAGUAUGCGCCAAGGACUUUAGAUUGUCUUGAAUCUGAGUUGUUGCUAUGAGAUCCUUGAACAAGAAGAUAUUUGGUAAGUUGUACUGAAUGUUUCUGUUCCACCCUCAAUUCUCUUUGAUUCUUGAUAUCUUUGCAUAUGCUUCUGGUGUUGCUCGGUCAAUAGUUUGGUUUAUUUUAUUUUAUUUUCUAUACCCAAAAAUCGAAAAAAAGAGAGUGAAACUAUUAAAUCGAAAUGUCCAAAUCCAGGUACCGAACGCUAUAACUAAUGUGUAUAGAUUACAACCAGUAGAAUCGCAUCUUAAAAGCCAGCGGUCCAGUCCAUCUCAACAUUAUCAUCCCUUCGAAACAAAAUAUCAAAACGUUUUAGCUCACAAAAUGAUGACUCAUGGGGUUUGCGUCAUCUCUUGCAAAUGCGGCUCACAAAUUCCCUCGAGUUUUCAAUCAGCGGUCCAUUUUUCACAUCAACCGCACUGCGUUUGAUACGUGAUGUGCGAACUCAAGUGUAGAUUGUAUUCUUUCACGCCCAGACAUGAUAUCAUGUGAUUCGGUAAUUUGUGUAGAUUGUAUUCUUUCAUGUUUGGACUGUCAUGUAAUUCACUAUUUCACUGGAUCUAGAGUAGACAAUUCAACCUUAGUAUAAGCCUGGUUCAUCUAAUAGGGAUAUUCAUCUUCAAAUUGGACAUGGAGAGAGAAAAAUAGACCUAGGUUUAAGGGAGGAAAUUUUGUUUAUGUUGUUAGAUUAUUUUAAUAUAUUAAUAUUAAAAUUAAUUUUAAAAAAUUAAAAAAAUAAAAUAAAAACACUUUAAACACCAUCAAUAUCAUAAUUCCAACAUAUGCUGCCGCAAAAAUUCAUAAAUUGCUUACAAUUGUUCAAAAAUUAAUUGGGUUUUGAAAAUCAGUCUGUUUAGGUGGCCGGAGUCUGGUUGAAGCUGCUGGAUGGAAGUGGACAAUGGUGCUGUCAGCUGCUUGAUUGGUUCCGUUGGUGGGUGUCGGGUUGAUGAGAUGAGGCUGGUGUCGAGUGCUGGGUUGGUUCUGUUGGGAGGGGCUGGUCUGGUUUUGUUGGGCAAUCGCGGUGGAGGUGGUGGCGUCGGAUGGUGAGGGAAAAGGGUGGAGACUAGUGGCUGCCGGCGGUUUUGGUGAUGAGUGUGAUGGGUUUCGGCCAAAAUAGAGAGGAAUGGGGUUGUUGGUUUCGGUUGCCACUGGGUUGAGGAAGAUAGCUGCUGCCAGAGGGAGUUGUUACGGGCGGGUGCUUCUGCUGUCAGUUGCCAUGUCCGUGGAGAAGAAGGGUGUUGACUAUGUCUAUAUGGGUUGUGGAAGCCGAGAGAUAGGGCUGUAGGAGGGAGCGGUGAGGAGGAGAAACCUUGGGGCGAUGAUAAAAAAAAAUGUGGAGAAUUUUCUUAGUCUUUUGGGAGAAGGGAUAGACCGGGGGGGUUUGGGAAUUUUUAGUUUUUUAAAGAAAAAAUGGGAGAGAGAGGUCAGGGGUUUUACUUUUUACUUGUUUUGGGGAGUGAGGAAGGAUGUCGAGAUGGGUUUCCUGCCUUGGCAGCACUGUUGCUGGUCGAGAGGGUGCUGUUGGGAGAGACGAUGGUCUUGGCCGGUCGAGAGGGCGGGGGACGGUUCUUUCGUUUUCAACGGUCAUUAUAAAUUAAAAUAAUAAAAUAUAAUUAUUUUUAAAUAUAUAAAUUUAAGUAAAAUAAUGUUUUUAUAUUUUAUUUUGUUUCAUUAACCAUUAC
rnacentral:lncRNA from 1 species